rnacentral:lncRNA from 1 species
UGGAAACAAGGAAGCUGGGAGGAGGUGGUCUUCCAUAGCUUUAGGAAAAAAAAAUCUUCUUUCUUCAUACCCAAAAAUCGGAUAGAGAUUAGGAAAUCUUGUGAUAGGUCGACCUUUGAUUGAUCAAAGGAAUGUGUCAUAGAGAGUUGUUCAUCUCCUAUUUCACCAAGGAGUGUGUUCGGUAGUGGAUGAACUAAGAAGAGACACAAAGGUCUAUAAGCAGGAGGUGAAUGGCCUAGGAAGCUAGGUUUUUAUCAUGACUCUGAUAGGAGUGAGUAGGAUUAGAGAAACUAUAAAAGGGGUUGCAGAGAAGUGGGAAAGCAUCAGAAAUCGAAAAAGGGUAGAGAAAUUGAGAGUUAGAGAACGUGAUUGAAAAUGAAGGAUUCAAAGAUUUGAAGGGUAAACUUCUUGUUACUUGAUUGUUUAGAUUUUUCGAAUUUAAUUUCCUUAGUUGAAUUGAAACUGCCAUGAGAUAUAUUUGGAGUUCUUAGUUUUAUUUAGGGUUUUCUACUGUUCAAUGAACCAAUCUGAACUUGAAUUAGAGUUGGGUAAUUCGGAUUGGGUGUGUAGAUCAAAUUUCUUGAUCAAGGGUUUGGUUCAAAAGGUCAAUUUCUUAUUAAUUUUGAGUCAUGUUAUAUUUGGGUGUUGUAGACAUGAUUUUUGGAUUACUUGGAAAUAUUUUGGGUUUUAUUAUAUGAAUUGGAAAUGUACUGUUAUGUAAGUGCAGAAAAUAGAUUUUUUUGCAGAGAAAACUCAAGUUUCUAGUGGUCUUAUUUUGCUCUUAAUUCAUAGGUCUUUAUGUGCUCCUUUGGAGAAAACUUUUAUUGUGUUGAAAAUACAUAUGUCCAUGAUUGUAACCCAAUUGUUUUCACUCAGUUCCGUUGAGUUUUGGUUGAUCAAAACCUUAUUUAAACUUGGGUCGCAAGCUGCCAAACAGCAGCAGAAAACUGGGUUUCCAGUUUCAAGACUCCAAUUUUCUUUUGGCAUAACUUCCAAUUUAGAGCUCCGUUUUCUACAAACUUUAUAUGCUUUUAAAGUACAUAACACAAACUUCAAAACCCAUGUAAUAUUACAUGAUUUGGUUUAGUUUUGAAUGUUCGAAAAUGAGUCUAAACUUGGUUCAAUAGUGCUGUUUUUCUGCAGAUUUUGUGAAGAUGCAAAGUUCUGUUUUUAGCACACCUAAUUUCUCUUCCAAAUUCCUUUCUAGUCCUCUUUACUUGAUUUGAGUGACAUUAUUUGAGUUAUAAGAUUCCAGAAUUUAUGUACUUUCUUUAGAUAAUAUCAAUUUUGUGGUUGAAUACUUAGUUUGGUUUCUAAUAUGUAUUACUUGUGUUUAUAUUUUUGGUUGUAUUUUUGUGUUCCGAUUAGGUUCUUCAGAGGAACAAAAUUAAUUGAAUUCAAGGUAGGGGGUUCUGGGAAACCUUCUAUAUAUAUAUAUAUUAAUUUAAUUAUUUCUUACUUAAGUACAUAUACAAGUUUGAGAUACAUGUUUUUAUUGGAUAUUUGAGUAUGAUGAAUGUUUGAAAUGAAAUUUGGGUCCAUGAUGUGAGAGUAAAGUGGGGUUGUCGAAAAGAACUUCGGGAAUCUAAGGUGGUGACUAUUAGUUUUGUGUAGUUGAGCCAAACUCUUAGUAGGUACCAGGUCUCAGGCGAGCUCAUAGUGCACAGAUUCUUUUAGGCAAGAUGACUAACAAAAGGGGAGUUCGGGGAUGUUUAGGGAUGGGGGUUAGUUCAUAUAUUUAAACACUCGGGAUCAAGUGGUAUAAGUACGGAAUAGGACGUACAAGGUCUGGCUGUUUAGUUAUGUGGAUUAACGGGUAUAGUUAAGGCAUUUGCAUUGCAUUCUUACGCAUCUUUCUAAUUUUGGUUUUAAUUCUGCUAUCUUAAUUAUACUUUAUUAUUUUAGUAAUGAAGGUAUAUGUCCCUACUGAGCUUUUUAAGCUCACCCUAACGAAAUUUUGCAGGUACAGAACCAGAAACCUAAAAGUCUGCUUGCUGUCUGUUGUGUAAUUAUGUAUAAGAAAUAAAAAGAUAUGCUUGUUGGCUUUUGCUCUCUUGUUUGAAUAAAGAACUACUUUUGUGUGAACUUUGAGUAGUUCAUAAGUUGUAAUUUUGGCUAAAACUUUCAAUAAUGAAUAUGUUGUUUAGUUAAUUUUGUUCCAAGCGAGUUAUACAUGCUUUUAUUUCAUGUCACAUUCUUAAUUAUAUUAGUUAAGCUUAUAAUUAAGGUGUGAUUCACAUUCUGAACCAAGGUUUAUGUUAAUCCUUAG